rnacentral:tRNA from 1 species
GCGCUUGUAGCUCAGCAGGAUAGAGCGUCCGCCUCCUAAGCGGAAGGUCGUGGGUUCGAAUCCCGUCAAGCGUGCCA